AGCAGUCGCCGCGGUAAUACAGAGGGUGCGAGCGUUAAUCGGAUUUACUGGGCGUAAAGCGUGCGUAGGCGGCUUCUUAAGUCGGAUGUGAAAUCCCUGAGCUUAACUUAGGAAUUGCAUUCGAUACUGGGAAGCUAGAGUAUGGGAGAGGAUGGUAGAAUUCCAGGUGUAGCGGUGAAAUGCGUAGAGAUCUGGAGGAAUACCGAUGGCGAAGGCAGCCAUCUGGCCUAAUACUGACGCUGAGGUACGAAAGCAUGGGGAGCAAACAGGAUUAGAUACCCCGUAGUCCCUGUCUCUUAUACA
rnacentral:rRNA from 1 species